AUUGAACGCUGGCGGCAGGCCUAACACAUGCAAGUCGAACGGUAACAGGAAGCAGCUUGCUGCUUUGCUGACGAGUGGCGGACGGGUGAGUAAUGUCUGGGAAACUGCCCGAUGGAGGGGGAUAACUACUGGAAACGGUAGCUAAUACCGCAUAACGUCGCAAGACCAAAGAGGGGGACCUUAGGGCCUCUUGCCAUCGGAUGUGCCCAGAUGGGAUUAGCUAGUAGGUGGGGUAACGGCUCACCUAGGCGACGAUCCCUAGCUGGUCUGAGAGGAUGACCAGCCACACUGGAACUGAGACACGGUCCAGACUCCUACGGGAGGCAGCAGUGGGGAAUAUUGCACAAGGGGCGCAAGCCUGAUGCAGCCAUGCCGCGUGUAUGAAGAAGGCCUUCGGGUUGUAAAGUACUUUCAGCGGGGAGGAAGGGAGUAAAGUUAAUACCUUUGCUCAUUGACGUUACCCGCAGAAGAAGCACCGGCUAACUCCGUG
rnacentral:rRNA from 1 species